UACUAUGCAGAAGCAUUUUAGUUUCAUCAGGUGUCAUUUAUUUAGUUUUUUUAUUGUUGUUGCAUUUGCUUUUGGGGUCUUAGUCAUGAAUCUUUGCCUAUAUUUAAGUCUUUGAUCCAUCUUGAGUUGAUUUUUAUAUAAGCUGAGAGAUAGGGAGCCAGUUUCAUUCUGCUACUUGUGGUUUGGAAGUUUUCCCAACACCGUUUAUGAAAUAGAGUAUUCAUUCCCCAGUGUUCGUUCACUGAGGUGUUCUGGCCUGUCUUCCCAGCUGGUCUAGAUGCGGGCAGGGACCUUGUCUGUUUUCACUCAUCUCUGCGUCCCCAGCAUCGAGCACAUGUCUGGCAUAGAGAAGACAAUGAGGCUCACUAGAGAGGAAAAGAAAAAUCACCAUCCUCGUUACUCACACCCACCUCAUUUCUUGGCACAAGUGCAGGUUGUUAGCUGGGUAGCUUGUUUUCUCAGAAGCAGAACAGUAUUUUUAUGCCAAGUAGCUGGGACUAUAGUUGCACAACCACACCUGGUUAAUUAAAAAAAAAAAAAAUUGUAGAGAUGAGGUCUUGCUAUAUUGCCCAGGCUGGCCUUGAACUCCUGGCCUCAAGUGUUUGCCUCAACCUCCCAAAGUGCUGGGAUUACAGGUAUGCACCAUAGCACCCAGCAUCAUAUUCUUAUACCCUAUUCAGAGUAGGAUUCCUCUCAGAAAAAAUACUACAUGGAUCUACUGAAAAACACGACAAUUGGAUUUUUCUCUCCAUCAGACCUGAUAUGGAAAAGUGGGCCAUGGCACUGGCAUGUUUUUAUGCCUCUUGUCAAUGCCUAUCCUCCUCUAGCCCUGACUUUCUGAAGCACCAACACACACUACUUUGGGCACUGAUUAGGCAGGAUAGUGUAUUAUUA
rnacentral:lncRNA from 1 species